GCACAUUUUCAGCAUAUUUAAGCACUUUUUAAGCACUUUUCAAGAGAGUAAUCAAAUUCAAGGACUUUUAAGCACUUUUUUUCAUUUUUAAGCACUUUUUAAGAAAGGGACUCAAAUUUAAGCACUUUUUAAGAAUGUACGAACCCUGUUGUUGCCGGAAACUGCUGAUACAGUCAUUAACUCAUUUCAACAGCAAUGUAACUUUUAAUUUCAACAGAUUUCUGAAAGCCUAUCCCAAAUGUCAGCCAUAACACCAGCUCCGCCUCUGGAUUUAGGCUAAAGAUACUUCAGCGAACAGGUUUUAUAGUACUUUCGCAAUGUCAAAUAAAAGCGACAUAUAAACAGAACUAGGAACUAGAUCUGCAGCCGUUGAUCCGUGUUCGCCAAUGAUUAGGCCAUACAAACGUAUCAGGAUCAGCUACCUGACAGUGACACUGAUUCUAAUUAAUAUGAAUUAGGCAAAUUAUAUACCUGUUAUGUUGUGGCGUUCACUGGUUUGAUUAAAAAUCUUGUUUUGUUUAUAAUUCCCACACACCUUGUGAAUGAAAAAAAAAAUUGCGGAUAUACGGAUUGAACUGAGCUGACUUGGAUUCAAGUGGAGUAAUUCAAUAGCUUUAUCCGCCAGAAACUGUUGUUUACUCUGAAUAAAUUUACAAAACGAUUUUUUCUUUUUUCUGUUUGACAUAAAAUAAUGAAUAAGACCCUGUCUAGUGAAUUAUAUAUUAACAAGAGCCAACGCCGGGCGGGGGCUACGCUCGACUUUUUACUUUCUCUAAAAGCAAACAAAGAAAUGUUUGAACAAAAUAUUAAUCAUAAUUAAUGUUUCCUUUUUUAUAAAAUUAAUCAUUCUGUUUUGUCACAUUAGUUUUGUCUAUAUAUUCUAUAUACAUAAAUUUACUAAUUUAUAUAUAUAUAAAUAGAGACACCCAAUUCGAAGUCACAUGGUGGUGUCACGUGGUGGAGUCACGUGGUGGUGUCACGUGGUGGUGGAGUCCAGUGGUGGAGUCACGUGGUGGUGUCACCUGGUGGAGUCACAUGGUUGAGUCAUGUGGUGGUGCCACGUGGAAGUCACACGGUGGAGUCAUGUUGUGGAGUCACGUGGUGGUGUCACGUGGUAGUGUCACGUGGUGGAGACACGUGGUGGAGUCACGUGGUGGUAUCACGUGGUGGAGUCAUGUGGUGAAGUUUGAAGACAAUCCAUUCAAAAAUAACAAAGUUACAGCCAAUAACAGCAUGAACAAGCAAAAUUUGGACUUUUAACCUUGAAGGUCAAGGUCAUUUAUGGAUGAAGGUCAAGAUAGAGUGAAGUGUCUGGCUCCUAAUGAAUGAAGAUAUAUUUAAGUCUUACCUACCUGCUUAUGGUGAUAGAUUAGCUGCCUAUACUUUCUGCAGAAGUAAAAAUGAAAAGUUAAAAGGUGAGAAGUGCUCAGAUGUUUUAUGAUGAAUUACGUUCAAAAUGGAAACAUGAUCGACAUGGAAUCAGAAGACAAGGUUUCAAACCUGGCAAUUUAUCUGCUGAAAGAACAUCAAAAAGAGUUGAACUAGGAUGAAUGGAUUACAAUGAGAAGUUAAAGGAUUAUAAACAAGUGUGGCAAGUUGGUGGAGGAGGUGUUUGGCACCUCACUGUUCAGAAAACACUUCCUGUUAAGACACUCUUGGGGCACGCUAAGGAUAUAUUUUUUUCCGUUGGGCAUUUCCAAACAUGGAUUACUUGAAGAGUUUGAUGUAGAAGUCAAAAAUUUUCAAGGCAUGUCUAUGAACUCAGAUAUGACAAUUAAUGAUCUCUGUAUUCAGUCAAAGUUAAAGAUCCUUAGAGUGUAUAUGUAUACCAAAAGAAAGACAGAAAAGGUUUCAUUAUAAAUUAUUUGCUAGACUUAUAUCAAAGUGGCAUAAUGCUCAUUAUUGUCAGGUUGGGCUAAAGUAACUAUACAUUUCAAAAGAUUGAACAUUAAAAUGGUGACUGACCAAUAGUUGAUAAUGAUAACUGUUUCUAUUAUAUAAAGACUGUCACACUCCUUUUAUAUGCCUGUUUGAAAAACAUGACUUAUUAUAGAUUCACCUGUGGCAGGCGGGCGAGCGGCGUCCAAGAUGUUGUCUGCUCAAUUAACUUGAGUAACCUUUGACGUACAUUAAUGAAACUUAGUGACAAUGCGUUAGGCCAAGUUCGAUAAUCAGUAAAUUUGCUCCAGUACAAGUUGGAUAUGAGGGACAGGCUAGCUCCAAGAGUUUGUCCACUACAAUGGAUAUAAUAUUGCCAGACCCAGAGAACUUGACCACAUCACCAUGUUGUAUCCAAGAAUCAGUUCUGUCCAACUCAGAUAAAGUGACUGGAUCAUCUUAUUUGUUUUCUUGUAUUGAAGAACACAGUCUGACAGUGAAAGUAUACCAGAUUUGACAGGAACAGAUGUGCUGGAUUUAUCCAUCUUACAAAUGGACCCACCUUCACAGGCAGAUACUUCUAGCUUUAUUGAUGCAGGCACACCAACUGUACAGUUUAGAGAACAAUCAUUGACCUUAGAUGAUACAUUUGCUACAACAGCAUGUACAGGCCCUACAUGGAGAUCCACUUGUUUAAGUUUACGCAGAAAUUCAGAAGCUACAGCUCCUAACCCUGACAGCAGUUAUUCAACAAUGGUGACAAUGGUGUGUCUAAGCAAUGACACCAUAGAGAUAAAAGACAGCAAUGAUGAGGCAAUAGAGCUGAGUUAGAAUCUACUCCACAGAUGGAACACAGUAAUGUAAGAUUAGAUAAUUGUGACAUGAAUGUGGGGCAUAACGUCCAAGAAUUCCAAGGAAAAUAUAUUCAAAGUGACCUAAGAUCAACUUAUAUAGUUUCCCACAGAAAUCCACUUGAGUCUGCAAUAAGAGCUCUUCAGAGAAAGACUCCAGAAGACCUCAAAUGCAGGUUAUUUGUAAAGUUUACAGGUGAAAUGGGGCAGGACUUCGGUGGUCCCAGAUGUGAGUUUUUUAGCUCGACUUUUCUAUGAAAAGGGGAGCUAUCCUACUCGCCCCGGCGUCGGCGUCGGCGUUGGCAUCACACCUUGGUUAAGUUUUUCGUACCACCCCACUUUAUUUCAGAAGUAUUACAAGUAUGGCUUUGAAACUUACCAUACUUGUUCACCAUCAUAACCUCCAUCUACAGACAAGAGUACAUAACUCUGUCAAGGUUUUUGACAGAAUUAUGGCCCUUUUUUGACUUAGAAAGUGUAUUGAGCUUGGUUAAGUUUUUUGUACCACCUCACUUUAUUUCAAAAACCAUUGGAGGUAUUGCUUUGAAACUGACCAUACUUGUUUACCAUCACGACCUUCAUCAACAGACAAGAGGACAUAACUCUGUCAAGGUUUUUGACAGAAUUAUGCCCCUUUUUGACUUAGAAAAUCAUUGAAUAUGGGUAAAAUCCACUUAUUGCCUUAACCCUUUGAGAUAUUGCUUUGAAACUUUUAAUGCUAUUUCACAUCAUUACCCCAUCUGUACGCAAGAGAAGGUAACUCUGUCAAGGAUUUGUUUUAAAAAUUAAGGCCUUUUAUCGACUUAGAAUCUUGGUUAAGUUUUUAGUACCAGUCCACUUUUUGACUGAACUGUUUGAGAUAUUAAUUUGAAAGUUGGAAUACUUGUUUACAAUCAUGAUUCCCAAACAUGUCCAGGAGAAGGUAAUUCUGUCAAAGAUUUUAUUUGAAUUAUGGCCCUUAACUGUCAAUGUUUUGUAUUAUAGGCAAGCACUAAAAAACUUAAAAAAUCUAAAAAAAUUCAUUCCUAUCCACUUGUUCACUUUACCAUAAAUUAUGUCAUAUAAACAUUGCUGUAAUAUUCAAGGGUAUCAAACAACUAGUUUCACUUUAAAAAUACAGAGAUUCUUGUAUUGCCUUUUACUGCAAAAACUUUUUUUAUUGGCAAGCAAUAAAAAAGUCGAGCGCGCUGUCUUACGGACAGCUCUUGUUAGGUAGGUGAUCUAUAUGUUUUCAUGUACAAAACAGUUUUCAUUCCUCAACCUCUUUGGAGGACUUAACUGUUAGCAUUACUGACUGCUUAUCUCACCAGUGUUGUGUUCUUAGACUCCUUUGUGUCCUGUCUAAUUAUAUAAAAUACUUUCUCUGCAUAAAGUAUGAAACUUAAAUGGGGCUUCAGUGGCCGAGUGGUUAAGGUCGUUGACUUCAAACCACUUGCCCCUCAAUGCUGUGGGUUCAAAGCCCGACAGGGACUUUGGAUUCUUUCAUGUGAGGAAGCUAUCCAGCUAGCUUACGGAACGUCGGUGGUUUUUACUCAGGUGCCCGUUCGUGCCUGAAAUAAUGCACGGAAGGGCACCUGAGGUCUUCCUCCACCAGUAAAGCUGGAACGUCGCGAUAUGACCUAUACUGUGUCGAUGUGAAUUUUCUUCAUUGGAAUUUGACACAAAUACAUUGGGGAUCAGCUGAAGCUGAUUAAUCACAAAAUAUUUUUUUAUACUUCUGUCACAAGUUAUUCCAAAAAUAUAGUUUAUACAUCCAAAGAACUUUCUAAGAAAAAUUUAAAGCAUGUGAAUGUGUUUAUUUUAUUGAAAAAAGUGCACAGGUAUAGCCUUUUAUAUAACAAAAAUUUGCAUAUUUUCAAUUUUGUUAAGUAUAUCACUGUAAAAGUAUAAAUGUUUAUACUGCAUAAAUAAUAAUGUUG